rnacentral:piRNA from 1 species
UAAUACAGGCUGGCCUUCGAAUGGCCUUUG